rnacentral:rRNA from 1 species
GUAGGUGGCAAGCGUUGUCCGGAAUUAUUGGGCGUAGAGCGCGCGCAGGCGGUUCUUUAAGUCUGAUGUGAAAGCCCACGGCUCAACCGUGGAGGGUCAUUGGAAACUGGAGAACUUGAGUACAGAAGAGGAAAGCGGAAUUCCACGUGUAGCGGUGAGAUGCGUAGAGAUGUGGAGGAACACCAGUGGCGAAGGCGGCUUUCUGGUCUGUAACUGACGCUGAGGCGCGAAAGCGUGGGGGAGCAAACAGGAUUAGAUACCCUGGUAGUCCACGCCGUAAACGAUGAGUGCUAAGUGUUAGGGGGUUUCCGCCCUUAGUGCUGCAGCUAACGCAUUAAGCACUCCGCCUGGGAGUACGGCCGCAAGGCUG